UGGGGAAUAUUGGACAAUGGGCGAAAGCCUGAUCCAGCCAUGCCGCGUGUGUGAAGAAGGCCCUCGGGUUGUAAAGCACUUUCAGUGGGGAAGAAAGCCUUGGGAUUAAUACUUCCGAGGAAGGACAUCACCCACAGAAGAAGCACCGGCUAACUCCGUGCCAGCAGCCGCGGUAAUACGGAGGGUGCGAGCGUUAAUCGGAAUUACUGGGCGUAAAGCGCGCGUAGGCGGUCUGAUCAGCCGGUUGUGAAAGCCCCGGGCUCAACCUGGGAACGGCAUCCGGAACUGUCAGGCUAGAGUGCAGGAGAGGAAGGUAGAAUUCCCGGUGUAGCGGUGAAAUGCGUAGAGAUCGGGAGGAAUACCAGUGGCGAAGGCGGCCUUCUGGCCUGAUACUGACACUGAGGUGCGAAAGCGUGGGGUAGCAAACA
rnacentral:rRNA from 1 species